rnacentral:rRNA from 1 species
GAAAAGAAAUCAACCGAGAUUCCCCCAGUAGCGGCGAGCGAACGGGGAGGAGCCCAGAGCCUGAAUCAGUGUGUGUGUUAGUGGAAGAGUCUGGAAAGGCGCGCGAUACAGGGUGACAGCCCCGUACACAAAAAUGCACAUGCUGUGAGCUCGAUGAGUAGGGCGGGACACGUGGUAUCCUGUCUGAAUAUGGGGGGACCAUCCUCCAAGGCUAAAUACUCCUGACUGACCGAUAGUGAACCAGUACCGUGAGGGAAAGGCGAAAAGAACCCCGGCGAGGGGAGUGAAAAAGAACCUGAAACCGUGUACGUACAAGCAGUGGGAGCCUCUUUUAUGGGGUGACUGCGUACCUUUUGUAUAAUGGGUCAGCGACUUAUAUUCUGUAGCAAGGUUAACCGAAUAGGGGAGCCGAAGGGAAACCGAGUCUUAACUGGGCGUUAAGUUGCAGGGUAUAGACCCGAAACCCGGUGAUCUAGCCAUGGGCAGGUUGAAGGUUGGGUAACACUAACUGGAGGACCGAACCGACUAAUGUUGAAAAAUUAGCGGAUGACUUGUGGCUGGGGGUGAAAGGCCAAUCAAACCGGGAGAUAGCUGGUUCUCCCCGAAAGCUAUUUAGGUAGCGCCUCGUGAAUUCAUCUCCGGGGGUAGAGCACUGUUUCGGCAAGGGGGUCAUCCCGACUUACCAACCCGAUGCAAACUGCGAAUACCGGAGAAUGUUAUCACGGGAGACACACGGCGGGUGCUAACGUCCGUCGUGAAGAGGGAAACAACCCAGACCGCCAGCUAAGGUCCCAAAGUCAUGGUUAAGUGGGAAACGAUGUGGGAAGGCCCAGACAGCCAGGAUGUUGGCUUAGAAGCAGCCAUCAUUUAAAGAAAGCGUAAUAGCUCACUGGUCGAGUCGGCCUGCGCGGAAGAUGUAACGGGGCUAAACCAUGCACCGAAGCUGCGGCAGCGACGCUUAUGCGUUGUUGGGUAGGGGAGCGUUCUGUAAGCCUGUGAAGGUGUGCUGUGAGGCAUGCUGGAGGUAUCAGAAGUGCGAAUGCUGACAUAAGUAACGAUAAAGCGGGUAAAAACCCCGCUCGCCGGAAGACCAAGGGUUCCUGUCCAACGUUAAUCGGGGCAGGGUGAGUCGACCCCUAAGGCGAGGCCGAAAGGCGUAGUCGAUGGGAAACAGGUUAAUAUUCCUGUACUUGGUGUUACUGCGAAGGGGGGACGGAGAAGGCUAUGUUGGCCGGGCGACGGUUGUCCCGGUUUAAGCGUGUAGGCUGGUUUUCCAGGCAAAUCCGGAAAAUCAAGGCUGAGGCGUGAUGACGAGGCACUACGGUGCUGAAGCAACAAAUGCCCUGCUUCCAGGAAAAGCCUCUAAGCAUCAGGUAACAUCAAAUCGUACCCCAAACCGACACAGGUGGUCAGGUAGAGAAUACCAAGGCGCUUGAGAGAACUCGGGUGAAGGAACUAGGCAAAAUGGUGCCGUAACUUCGGGAGAAGGCACGCUGAUAUGUAGGUGAAGCGACUUGCUCGUGGAGCUGAAAUCAGUCGAAGAUACCAGCUGGCUGCAACUGUUUAUUAAAAACACAGCACUGUGCAAACACGAAAGUGGACGUAUACGGUGUGACGCCUGCCCGGUGCCGGAAGGUUAAUUGAUGGGGU